GAUGAACGCUGGCGGCGUGCCUAAUACAUGCAAGUCGAGCGAACAGACGAGGAGCUUGCUCCUCUGACGUUAGCGGCGGACGGGUGAGUAACACGUGGAUAACCUACCUAUAAGACUGGGAUAACUUCGGGAAACCGGAGCUAAUACCGGAUAAUAUACUGAACCGCAUGGUUCAAUAGUGAAAGACGGUUUUGCUGUCACUUAUAGAUGGAUCCGCGCCGCAUUGGCUAGUUGGUAAGGUAACGGCUUACCAAGGCAACGAUUCGUAGCCGACCUGAGAGGGUGAUCGGCCACACUGGAACUGAGACACGGUCCAGACUCCUACGGGAUGCAGCAGUAGGGAAUCUUCCGCAAUGGGCGAAAACUUGACGCAGCAACGCCGCGUGAGUGAUGAAGGUCUUCGGUUCGUAAAACUCUGUUAUUAGGGAAGAACAACUGUGUAAGUAACUAUGCACGUCUUGACGGUACCUAAUCAGAAAGCCACGGCUAACUACGUG
rnacentral:rRNA from 1 species